rnacentral:rRNA from 1 species
UACGUAGGUGGCAAGCGUUGUCCGGAUUUAUUGGGUUUAAAGGGUGCGUAGGCGGUUGAUUAAGUCAGUUGUGAAAUACGAUAGCUCAACUAUCGAGGUGCAAUUGAUACUGUCGACUUGAGUACAGACGAGGUAGGCGGAAUUGACGGUGUAGCGGUGAAAUGCUUAGAUAUCGUCAAGAACACCUAUAGCGAAGGCAGCUUACUAGGCUGUAACUGACGCUGAGGCACGAAAGUGUGGGGAUCAAACAGG